rnacentral:rRNA from 1 species
GACGAACGCUGGCGGCGUGCUUAACACAUGCAAGUCGAACGGUGAUGCUCCAGCUUGCUGGAGUGGAUCAGUGGCGAACGGGUGAGUAACACGUGAGCAACCUGCCCCAGACUCUGGAAUAAGCGCUGGAAACGGCGUCUAAUACUGGAUACGAAACUGGCCCGCAUGGGAAUGGUUUGGAAAGUUUUUCGGUUUGGGAUGGGCUCGCGGCCUAUCAGCUUGUUGGUGAGGUAAUGGCUCACCAAGGCGACGACGGGUAGCCGGCCUGAGAGGGCGACCGGCCACACUGGGACUGAGACACGGCCCAGACUCCUACGGGAGGCAGCAGUGGGGAAUAUUGCACAAUGGGCGAAAGCCUGAUGCAGCGACGCCGCGUGAGGGAUGACGGCCUUCGGGUUGUAAACCUCUUUCAGCAGGGAAGAAGCGAAAGUGACGGUACCUGCAGAAGAAGCACCGGCUAACUACGUG